rnacentral:rRNA from 1 species
UGGGGAAUAUUGCGCAAUGGGCGAAAGCCUGACGCAGCGACGCCGCGUGAGGGAUGAAGGUCUUCGGAUCGUAAACCUCUGUCAGAAGGGAAGAAACUAGGGUGCUCUAAUCAUCAUCCUACUGACGGUACCUUCAAAGGAAGCACCGGCUAACUCCGUGCCAGCAGCCGCGGUAAUACGGAGGAUGCGAGCGUUAUCCGGAUUUAUUGGGUUUAAAGGGUGCGCAGGCGGCGCGCCAAGUCAGCGGUCAAAGUUCCGGGCUCAACCCGGUGUCGCCGUUGAAACUGGCGUGCUCGAGUGCGUGCGAGGAAGCGGAAUGCGUUGUGUAGCGGUGAAAUGCAUAGAUAUGACGCAGAACUCGAUUGCGAAGGCAGC